CUUAGCGGCGGACGGGUGAGUAACGCGUGGACAACCUGCCCUAUGCAGGGGGAUAACAUCCGGAAACGGGUGCUAAUACCGCAUAAGCGCACAGUACCGCAUGGUACGGUGUGAAAAGCUGAGGCGGCAUAGGAUGGGUCCGCGUUGGAUUAGGCAGUUGGCGGGGUAACGGCCCACCAAACCGACGAUCCAUAGCCGGCCUGAGAGGGUGGACGGCCACAUUGGGACUGAGACACGGCCCAGACUCCUACGGAAGGCAGCAG
rnacentral:rRNA from 1 species